rnacentral:rRNA from 1 species
CCUACGGGUGGCAGCAGUCGAGAAUCAUUCACAAUGGGGGAAACCCUGAUGGUGCGACGCCGCGUGGGGGAAUGAAGGUCUUCGGAUUGUAAACUCCUGUCAUGUGGGAGCAAAUUAAAAAGAUAGUACCACAAGAGGAAGAGACGGCUAACUCUGUGCCAGCAGCCGCGGUAAUACAGAGGUCUCAAGCGUUGUUCGGAAUCACUGGGCGUAAAGCGUGCGUAGGCUGUUUCGUAAGUCGUGUGUGAAAGGCGCGGGCUCAACCCGCGGACGGCACAUGAUACUGCGAGACUAGAGUAGUGGAGGGGGAACCGGAAUGCUCGGUGUAGCAGUGAAAUGCGUAGAUAUCGAGAGGAACACUCGUGGCGAAGGCAGGUUCCUGGACAUUAACUGACGCUGAGGCACGAAGGCCAGGGGAGCGAAAGGGAUUAGAUACCCGAGUAGUC